rnacentral:misc_RNA from 1 species
GAUUGAAAGAGGUUACUUAGAAGAAGGCAAAGAAGUACUUCGAAAAAUCAGAGGUACCGACAACAUUGAACCUGAAUUCUUGGAACUUGUUGAGGCUAGUCGUGUUGCUAAACAAGUCAAACACCCUUUCAGAAAUUUACUCCAACGUAAAAAUAGACCUCAAUUAAUCAUCUCUGUUGCCCUCCAGAUAUUCCAACAAUUUACAGGAAUCAACGCUAUUAUGUUCUACGCACCUGUUUUAUUUUCAACACUAGGGUUUGGAAACAGCGCAGCUCUUUACUCAGCUGUCAUCACCGGAGCAGUCAACGUUCUCUCCACCGUUGUCUCAGUCUACUCCGUUGACAAGCUCGGACGACGAGUCCUCCUCCUGGAAGCUGGGGUCCAAA